UUGGCAAUUCAAAACAUGAUACUUCCUGCAUAAUUAGAUGUCUGAAGUUACAAUCUUACAGUCUGAAUAUAAAAUUGUAAAUUGCUGUAAAAGAAAUUCUUAACUGUACAUCAAUCAAAGCCUAAGAAGAAAGAGAAGGAAACAGAAUAUAACAUUGGUGAGAAUAGAUGAUGCAUUUCUGACAUCAAACGUUAUCUGGCCAGAACUCCCGAUAAAAGGCCCGCUCAAAUUCCUUCUCUUGCAAAUGCUUUUCUAACUGUUGCAUCUUCCUUUGUUUCUUAGAAAGUGUCUUGGACUUUUUUGAAGGUGAAUGUUCCUGAAACUUGAACAAAGUAUUACUAUUAGUGACAUUCAGCAGAAGUAAAGUAUGGAGGAUAAUAAAUUUAUAGUCUCAUAAUACACGGCAAAUGAUUGAACAAAACAUUUGCAAUACAACCUAACACAUGAUUUAGUACUUAUGAAGGUGAAAAUUUCAAGCAAUUGUAACAAGAUGCCAUCUUAUCAAUCUAUAACAAGGAUCAAAAGAUACCAUGCGCUAUGUUUUGUAAACCAUGCAAGAUCCAAGAUACUUCAUCAAAUCACUUUCUAUUUGUCCCCAAAUUCUUUUUAAAAAAAAAAUUGGGUAACUCAGAAGUUGACCAAAAUAUUUCAAAAAAGUGAAGGAAAAAAAAAAAUGCAUAUGCAAUAAGAGGGCUCAUUUGAGAGGUAUGACCUAAGUAAGAUGUGAAACUAUAAAGUUGAGCUCUUUUCUUUCUCUGGCACCAUAUUUAGAAGCCACCAGUCAGACUAAAACAAGCAAAGUCAUUUCUACAAACAGACCCAUAUCACACCAUGGAAUUAACAAUCUCCUCCUGCACUGCUUUUCCAAAUUGUAACUGUCCACCCCUUGGUUUGUAGCCUAAAUGGAAAUCCGAUGAGAACUUUGCAGAUCUGAUCACUUGGAAUCAUGAAACUCCAUUCGAUGUGGUUAAAAACAAGAAUUCCAAUAGAAUGCUUGUCAUGGACAUUCCAGUUUGUGCUUUCAAAUUAGGGAAUUCAUCAAUUACUCCAGUAUGAACACAGGUAUUUCAUUACUUGAUUCCUCAACCAGGCCUUUUCCAUUUUCAAGUCCUAAAAAUGUCUCACAAAUUCACCUUGCUAAGCAGUAUUUCUAAGGAGUUAUUUAAGUUUUUGAUUGUUUGUUCAGAAGACCAUACAAUUAAACUUCCAAAUAAAUAAAUGAGAAAAUAAAGACAUUCAGAAUGAGGUACCUAGAAGCCUCACCUUCUCAUUUUGAUCCUUGGCGAUAAGAGAUUCAAGAGGCUUAGGUGUCCUCUUCUUCACUUUAUCUGCUCCUAGACCUCGUUUAUUAUUUUUCAGACAUGCCUGUAAUGGCUCUAACCUCCCUUGCUCAGAAACUCCAAGACCAGUACCUUCUUUCCACCCAUGCUUCUUCAAUAGCUGAAAGCCUAUAUUGGAGGAAUCGAUGGCUGUGGUACUUGUAGAGCUGUUUGAACCCAAUAAUUCCUCACCCAUAACUUCUCCUGCUCAAGGAAAGACCAUAGACCGCUUCCUUCGUAAUCCAAGCUCUGAAAAGAUUCCACUUUGAAUAUUGAAGAAAAUACUAAAAAAUAGAGGAAAAUUUAAAAAAAUUCUCUGAUUUUUCUAGUUUUGUAGAUGUCAGAAAAAUCAUGGGCUUUGGGCCUAUAAGCCAACUUGGCCCAUAGAUUUUCAGUUGAAUUCUGUAACGGGUGGCAUCGUUCUCGUCCAUGUCGUCUUCAGCUGUUUUCAGUCCUCUCGACUCAUUCCAUUUUCCUGCAUUGUGUUCCUGUCUGAUCUGUUCAAGUUUUGCAUUUCAAAUAAAGAAAUAUAAUACGGAAAAUAAAAAUCAAAGGUUGCUUUCAUCUCCUCUUUCUCGCUCCAGGUUUCGUUUCAUCAUUGUUGGGUUUAACAUCUGAGGAGAAAAGAAACGAGUGAGUGAAAAUCCUAAUCCAAAUCCAAAUUCAGAAAACUGAAAAGUAAUCUACCAACAGAGAUAUGGAUUUGGAUCAGUGGAUAGCCAAGGUGAAGGAAGGGCAGCAUCUGUUGGAGGACGAGCUUCAACUUCUUUGCGAAUGCGUAAAUUUCGUUCCCUCUCCCUAGGGUUUCUUCUCUUUUCUUUCUCAUCUUUGCUGCCCUCGUCUUUUGGAGCAAUGGAAUUAGGGUUUACAUCUGCUUAUUUGGUUUACUUCCUCUUCCUCGUUAUUCAUCUCUAAAACCAAUACAGAAAAUGACAAAACAUUAUUUAAAAUGAGAGCCUGCUUGCUAUGCUUGGUUUAUUGAUUUUGUGCGUUCACAUGACUUCCAUUUUCUGUUUUUUCUUCUCAAGCUAAACAGAGAGUUUGGGUUUUUUCAUGUAGUAGAAGAGACUGGGAUUUAGACCUUGUGCUUGCUGUUGUUUUAGUUUCUCGUUAAUGGAGAAUUUUUUUGUUAUAAACGCAUUUCAAAUUUUUAACAUCAUUCGUCUUCUAACAUAUCCAAAUGAUGGAAAAUGUAACGCUUGCAGGUUUUAUUUCAUUCUAUUCUUGCAUUUCUUAGAAUUGGAUGAACAAUGACUGCAUUUUAUUUUGCAAUUUGUGGUAUUUUCUUCAAAACAUAUGAUGUUAGGUACAUCAUUUUGUGCAGCUGUGCAGCCUGUGCUUCUGUAAAUCAUAGUUUGAAUUAGAACCAGCAACUCUUUGAAAUUGUCCUCAUGCCUUUCCUUUUCUUUAUCUCUCUUCUUUCUACAGGCAACGUUAAUAUCUCUUGUUAUAAAUUUUAGGUUAUGGUACAACAUGAGUUUUAAUCAUUUUUGCCUCGUCGAAAAUUAUUUAUUUGCAAUUAUGAUGAAGAAUAGCUGAUAAUAUCACCACCAUCAAUACCCUUUCAUGGAACCACCGUAAGAUUAUUUUGUAUGAUUAUAAAAUUGUUAGAUAGUUCAAGAUUUACUUAGUUAACCAUUAUUUGUAAACGACACAGGUAAAAGAUAUCCUCAUCGAGGAGUCCAAUGUACAGCCUGUUAACAGUCCAGUCACUGUUUGUGGUGAUAUUCAUGGCCAGUUUCAUGAUCUAAUGAAACUUUUCCAGACUGGAGGUCACGUUCCUGAGACAAAUUACAUUUUUAUGGGAGAUUUUGUUGACCGAGGUUACAAUAGUCUUGAAGUUUUCACUAUUCUUUUGCUUCUUAAAGCAAGAUAUCCAGCUAAUAUCACACUUUUGCGAGGAAAUCAUGAAAGCCGGCAACUAACUCAGGUUUAUGGCUUCUAUGAUGAGUGCCAAAGGAAGUACGGCAAUGCCAAUGCAUGGCGGUAUUGUACUGAUGUUUUUGAUUAUCUAACACUCUCAGCAAUCAUAGAUGGCACUGUGCUUUGUGUCCACGGUGGCCUUUCUCCUGACAUCCGCACAACUGAUCAGAUAAGAGUAAUCGAACGCAAUUGUGAAAUUCCACAUGAAGGGCCAUUCUGUGAUCUAAUGUGGAGUGAUCCCGAAGAUAUUGAAACAUGGGCAGUUAGUCCCCGAGGAGCAGGUUGGCUAUUUGGAUCCAGGGUUACUUCUGAGUUCAAUCACAUUAACAGUCUUGGUCUGGUUUGUCGAGCACACCAACUGGUACAAGAAGGUCUGAAGUACAUGUUUCAAGAUAAAGGCUUAGUAACUGUUUGGUCUGCACCAAAUUACUGUUAUCGUUGUGGUAAUGUUGCUUCUAUAUUGUGCUUCAAUGAGAACAUGGUAAGUAUUGCAAGCUUUUAUGCUGUCAUUUUUUGUGGAUGACGAAGGGUAGAAAUUAGAUAUUGAUCUACAUGACAUUUGUAAUGCUAUGGUACCCUAGGUCCAUGGGCAUGCAAUGUAAGCUCGUUGUCAAAGGUCUGAACAUAUAUUUUGCGAAAUAUCAGGGAAUAAAAAAACCUUAAAACAGUUGUAGGACUCCCAACUAUCUCUUAUUCUUCUGAUGAAUUAUUAGUCUUGUAAGCACAAUGAAUGGAAUGGCUUUUAUACAUAAGUGAGCACAUAUUACGCCUAACGAAGUUACUCAUAAAUAUUGUUGAAUAAUAUUGCUAUAGUAUGUUAAUGAUGCUGUAAUUCUCAGUUGCCAGCUUCACCUUUUCUGUUCUCAUGCAAUCAAAUUAUAUCCACAAGGUCUUGCUUGGCUUGUAAAGGGAGCCUUUUUAUGCUAUUUUGACUGUGAAAACAAUAUUAGCCUUUUUUUAUUUCCCUUUUCUCUGUUGUUAAUAGUUUGAAGGCCCAAUUAAUCUUGGGCUCCACAAUGGUGGUUAAUCUGUUCUGUCUCGUAAUCUUCCCUUUGUGCUCAUGCCUCUGAAUUCAAAUUAUUAUUGUCUAUGCAAUGAAAUCAAUUUGAUAAACAGUUAGUGUUGUUGUAAUUAGAAAUAAUUUGUGCAUGUGCUUAGAUUAACAUGGUUACCUGCUAAUGCUUUUCAACCUGGAAGAUUCUUUAAUAAUCCCCUUUAUGAAUAGUACCAUGUUUUUGAAAUCAUGAUCGUUUUUGUGCCAAUUCUGUAGGAGAGAGAAGUGAAAUUUUUCACCCAAACUGAGGAGAACAACCAGAUGAGAGGACCCAGGACAGGAGUUCCUUAUUUCUUAUGAUGAGGGAUUCAUUUGCCUUGGUACUUGUAAAAUUGCUGAAGUAGUGCGAAUGCUUAUUGUUGGAAGGAGUUGUAAGGGAAAAGCUGGGAGAACACGUCCUUGUGACAUGUUCUGCAGGUGGACCUUGCAUUUGCCUGGUUUGGCAUUUUCCAUCCACUUUAGGUUGCUUUUGGGAUUUGUGGCAUGUGUAUUAUGGUUUCCAAUUAUAUCAUGGCUUUCUUUUUUCCUUUUAUUUAAGUUCUAUCCAAGUUGCUUAUCAUAUACCAUGCCUUCGAAUUAAAUGUGUAUUAGUCUUCUGUGUUAACUAGUAUCCGUAACAGUUGAUUUUUC
rnacentral:misc_RNA from 1 species